rnacentral:lncRNA from 1 species
GAGCAAUGCCACAAGUGUAGACAUUUCUCAGGGAAUUAUGAAAAGCCAACUUCUUAGGUCUUGAAGCAGAACAGACCAAGGUGGAUGAGUACAGUUAUUUGUCUGAAUUUGUAGAGAAUCUGUUGGAAGAGUCGUCAGCCUUGAGACAUAGUUUACCCUAUUUCACUGGAUAAUGGAGAGAGAUGAAGAGGAAAGAAGGGACCUGUCUGAUAAAUUUGCGCAUCUAACGAAGAAAGAUUAUGACUCAGUGUUUGAUCGAAUUCGGACCUUGAUGCAGCAUCAUGGCUACCCUAAAAAACAUGACAGAGACAAGGCCCUAGUGGGCCAGACCUCCUCUGUGACCAUAAACCAGACUUCUAAGACCACAAGCCAGAUCUAUUCUGAUACCUCAAGCCAGAAAUUUUCUGAGACUGAGACCCAGACCUGUUAUGAGACCGAGAGCCAGACCUUUGUGACCGUGAGUCGGAGCGCUUCUCAGACAUCGAACCACAACUUUGCAACCGUUUACCAGAUCUCUUCAGACAGUUCAAACCAGAGCUUAUCAGAGAACGAGAGCCAGACCUAUCCUGAGAUCGCGAGCCCGACCUUUGUGACCGUGAGCCGGAGCACUUCUGAGACAAACCACAACUUUGCAACCGUGCACGAGAUCUCUUCAGACACUUCAAACCAGAGCCUGUCAGAGAACGAGAGCCACACCUAUGCUGAGACCAUGAACCAGACCUUUGUGAC